UGGGACCCUACAAGUUGUUCUCCCGCAACCUGCGAGAACAUCUAGGACCUGGUAAACUUCUGGAGAGCGAGGUCACACCUGCACACAAUAAGAAAGUAAAAACAUACUGCCGAGCAGCCAAACAUUAAAUGAGGAAACAGCACCACCACAGGCAGUGGAGGGACGUAACAUUUGGCAGGGAAAAAACAAAGGCUUGAAAAAGGUGGGCCCUUUGGACUAUGAAGUCAUGGUGGGAGCAGUUUGUGACCACAAUCACUGGACUUUAAUAAUUCGGUGCACACUUUGUGGAAGCUUGUUCCACUGGAGCUGCAUAGGGGAACCACCUAUUCACAGAGAG